CUGGUGCCAGCAGCCGCGGUAAUUCCAGCUCCAAUAGCGUAUAUUAAAAUUGUUGCAGUUAAAAAGCUCGUAGUUGAAUUUCUGCUGCAUUGCAUCUUCUUUUUGAUGAUUUGAUGUAUUGUGGCUUAUUUCAGAUGAUACUUGUAUUAUCCGGAUGAUUACUUUGAGAAAAUUAGAGUGCUCAAAGCAUGCUUUUGCCUUGAAUAGUUUAUCAUGGAAUAAUAAAGUACGACUUUGCUUCUAUUUUGUUGGUUUUAAGUACCAAAGUAAUGGUUAAUAGGAACAGUUGGGGGCAUUCUUAUUUAACUGUCAGAGGUGAAAUUCUUAUAUUUGUUAAAGACCAACUACUGCAAAAGCAUUUGCCAAGGAUGUUUUCAUUAAUCAAGAACGAAAGUUAGGGGAUCGAAGACAAUA
rnacentral:rRNA from 1 species